UUCGAGUGGCGGACGGGUGAGUAACGCGUGGGUAACCUGCCUUACACAGGGGGAUAACACCUGGAAACAGGUGCUAAUACCGCAUAAGCGCACAGGGCCGCAUGGCCCGGUGUGAAAAACUCCGGUGGUGUAAGAUGGAUCCGCGUCUGAUUAGCUUGUUGGCGGGGUAGGGGCCCACCAAGGCGACGAUCAGUAGCCGGCCUGAGAGGGUGGACGGCCACAUUGGGACUGAGACACGGCCCAAACUCCUACGGGAGGCAGCAG
rnacentral:rRNA from 1 species